CUUGGACUAAGGCAGAAGGACGUGGAAUCGAACCGGCGUCCUCCCGAAUGUUAAGCAAUGGUCUAAACCUCUGGGCCAUGCCGCUCCGAGAAGGAACUAAAAAACUUUAAAAAAAACUUUUGGGUGUUUUAUUCCCAAUGCUGGUGGGCGGGCAGGUCAUCGAGGUAUAAAGAUGCGUGUUCUAUUAAUAAUAAUAAUGAGACAGUUUAAAUAAAGCAAUUGAUUUUGCAACUGACGAGAAUAUCAAAAUUUUGAAUAAAGUGCUAAAAUCUUUUUUGGUUCGUCAGAUAAUCGAAAAAAUUAAUAUUUUAAAUUUCUUUAACUCAUCGUCAGAAUAUUUUACUUAUAAUUACAUCUAUUGGAAUAUUACAUUCUUAUUGCAGCUUUUUGGAACUCCAUACAUCGGUGUCUUCAGAAUUUGCAUGCAACGUUUCGUCUUAGCGGAAGUACCAUUAACAUUAAAAUUUUAAGUACGGAUCUAGAUUUUUUAUUUUUUUUUUUACUUUUUUUUAAAAAAAAUGUGCUAAACGUACAUCGUAUGGUCUCUUACUUAUUCUCGACGUUACGCAGCAAUAAAACCAUCAUGAGACAGCAGUUCAGCUUUGUUCUCAAUGAAAUAAAGAAAAGACAACAGAGCACAGAGCCAAAAAAUUCUGUAACGAAAAGGAAUAUGGAUCAAAAAACUCCAAACCAACUGAAAUGUUUUCGUUGUAAUUCAUGUGGAAAACCUCUAACAUUAGGACCUGUGUCUAUUCAUGUAGACGGAAUGUUUUACUGUGAAAAAUGUAGCUCAAGAUAUGCAUAUGCAGGAAACAACUCUUUUUAUAACACCACUCUUGGUGCAGCAUUGUAUAGACAUACGUUUAAAUGUGGCAAUAAUGGGUGUAAUGAGGACAUCCCCUUGCUCCAAACCAAGAUGCACGAAGAUAACUGCAGAUUUAAACCAAUACCGUGUGUACUUUCACACUGCAAUUGGCUCAAAAGCAAAGGAGAUUUUCUUGAUCAUUUUCGCUUAAGUCACGGUCAGUUUUAUUGUAAAGAAAAUGAAAAUAUUAUGUUCGACAUUCAAGGCAAACAGAAAGAGAAAUUCGUUAUGAUUGAUAAUUAUUGCUUUAUUAAAAUGUAUACCUCUGAAGAUGGGACUACUUUAAAUUUUGCUGUUUGUAAAAUACAAAACAAUUUCGAAAGCUGUAAAAUUGAUAUAUUCGAUAAGGAUCUAAAUUAUAUGGGUAAAUAUGCUAGAAAUGCCGAAGCAUUUGAUGAAAAUUUCACAAAUUGUAAUUGUGUAGUCUCUUUUCCACAUAUUGAUAAGUUUUUUAGUACUUCAAGUGUAUUAAAUAUUCAAAUUACUUGUAAAAACAGUUAUUAACAAUAAAAUUUCCCUGAUAAAUAAUAUUUA